GUAUUCGUCAAAUUUUUUCCCGUCUCUCUCUCCUUAAGGCAUGAAAAUUAUGCGAUGAUUUCUCUCUCCCACUCUCUGCUUUCAACGGAUUCUAGGGUUUUACCAAUUCCAACCAUAAUUUAGCAUACUCAGCUGAAUGUACCGGGAUUUUUGGCUGUCCAGGGUGUUAAAUAGCUGCAAGAAGAGACUGUCAUCCUGCAUAGAGUUGCUGUUCAGAAAUUUGAAAUGAGCAGUGAAGAAGUUCUGAAGGUGGUUUUUCCUUUGCUGGAUGGUCAAGAUCUUUCUUCUUGUAUGAUGGUGUGUAAGCAGUGGAGGGAUAUAGCAA